CCUACGGGUGGCAGCAGUGGGGAAUAUUGGACAAUGGGCGAAAGCCUGAUCCAGCCAUGCCGCGUGUGUGAAGAAGGCCUUCGGGUUGUAAAGCACUUUCAGUGGGGAAGAAAGCCUUGGGGCUAAUACCCUCGAGGAAGGACAUCACCCACAGAAGAAGCACCGGCUAACUCCGUGCCAGCAGCCGCGGUAAUACGGAGGGUGCGAGCGUUAAUCGGAAUUACUGGGCGUAAAGCGCGCGUAGGCGGUCUGAUAAGCCGGUUGUGAAAGCCCCGGGCUCAACCUGGGAACGGCAUCCGGAACUGUCAGGCUAGAGUGCAGGAGAGGAAGGUAGAAUUCCCGGUGUAGCGGUGAAAUGCGUAGAGAUCGGGAGGAAUACCAGUGGCGAAGGCGGCCUUCUGGACUGACACUGACGCUGAGGUGCGAAAGCGUGGGUAGCAAACAGGAUUAGAUACCUGAGUAGUC
rnacentral:rRNA from 1 species